rfam:Gossypium raimondii Chr05_contig_383, whole genome shotgun sequence.
AGACCUUAGUGAGGGCAUAUUUAUAUCAGCGAAUUGAAUCACUCCCAAGCUUUGUGAAAGCUUUCUCCUUCGAAUUGCUUAAACAUGGAAAUCUCUCUUCUCAGUUA